rnacentral:tRNA from 1 species
AUUUAAAUAGCUUAUAGUAAAGUUUAAUAUUGAAGAUAUUAAGAAAAUUAAAUUUAAUUUUUAAAUA